GUAGGGAAUAUUGGGCAAUGGAGGCAACUCUGACCCAGCCAUGCCGCGUGCAGGAAGACGGUCCUCUGGAUUGUAAACUGCUUUUGAAUGGGAAGAACAUACGGUUUGCGAACCGUACUGACGGUACUAUUAGAAUAAGCACCGGCUAACUCCGUGCCAGCAGCCGCGGUAAUACGGAGGGUGCAAGCGUUAUCCGGAUUUAUUGGGUUUAAAGGGUGCGUAGGCGGCCUUAUAAGUCGGUGGUUAAAGGUAGCAGCUUAACUGUUUUACAUGCCAUCGAUACUGUAGGGCUUGAGUGAUUUGGAGGUAGCUAGAAUUCCCUGUGUAGCGGUGAAAUGCAUAGAUACGGGGAGGAAUACCGAUUGCGAAGGCAUGUUACUACGAAUUAACUGACGCUGAGGCACGAAAGCGUGGGGAUCAAACAGGAUUAGAAACCCUGGUAGUCC
rnacentral:rRNA from 1 species